ensembl:snRNA U6 U6 spliceosomal RNA
GUGCUUGCUUUGGCAAUACAGAUGCUAAAAUUGGAAGGAUACAGAGAAAAUUAGUGGCCCUCGUGCAAGGAUAAUAUGCAAAUUUGUAAAGCACUUCAUAUUAAA